UCACCAUUAAGCCCUUCUGUGAAAAUGAGCGGACCAAAGAGAAGGAAAGUGGACAGCGAAUGCCGAGUGUUUAAUAAGGAGUGGACAACAAAAUACUUCUUCACUGAAGUCCGAUCAACGGCUGUAUGUCUGAUAUGCCAAGAAGCUGUUGCGGUUUUCAAAGAGUACAAUAUCAGCCGUCACUUUGCCACGAAGCAUGCAAACUAUGCUAGCAAGCAGUCAACACAAGAACGGGCGGCUACUGCUCAGAGGUUGGCAGCUAAUUUACAGAGUCAACAGAACUUUUUUCACCGACAAACUGCAAUUCAAGAGUCAAGUACCAAGGCAAGUUAUUUGCUGGCAUUCAAAUUAGCAAAGGCUAGCAAGCCUUUCUCCGAAGGCGAGUUUUUGAAAGAGUGCAUGGUAGAGACAGCAGGUCUCUUGUGUCCGGAGAGCAAAGCCAAGUUUGAAAAAAUCAGUUUAGCACGCAGGACAGUGACUCGCCGCGUGGAACUGAUUGACGAAGAUAUAGUCAGCGAAAUGCGAAGAAAUACUGCAAAUCACUGGACGAUCUGCACAGAGAAUUUUGCCGUCGGUUCUGUGAUUUUGAAAAAAUUGACAAGUCACUUCAACUGGUGUCCUGUCCCCUGUCACAAGACCCCGAAUCAGCACCGCAGGAGCUGCAAUUGGAACUGAUCGAUCUUCAGUCUGACUCCGUCUCAAAGGAGAAGUUCAAGUCUCUUAAACUGAAUGACUUUUACGCUUCACUUAACGAGACCGCGUUUCCAAACCUCCGGAGGACGGCGCAGAAGAUGCUGGUGUUGUUUGGCUCGACCUACGUGUGUGAGCAGACGUUUAGCGUCAUGAAAAUCAACAAAGCCCAUCACAGAUCCAAGUUAACUGACCAACACCUCAGAUCUGUCCUGAGAAUUGCCACAACAAAACUAACUCCAGACUUUGAUGCACUGGCAAAAAAGGGAGACCAACAACACUGUUCCCACUGAAAUGGUGGUGGAGAAGCCUGGCCAGCACCAACGUCACGUUGAAGAACCCAGGAGCUUCAGAGAAGCAACGUUUUGAUGGCUUUAUUGGAGGGUGCACUGGUCAGGGUUAGGCGCAGCUGUAAAGUGCCAGUCUUUAAGAUUAGAAUCUACAAGGAGGAUGAGGUGAUUGGGUCAGUCAAGGACCUUGUUGUGCAGAGCGGAUGCAACUUUUCAAUAGCUGAGAUUCUUUGCAUGGAGAGUUUUAUACUAGAUGAGCUGAACUGGGACCUGUACGACACGACACCAAUCGACUUCCUUUGCAUGGUAAGUAGCCGUUAAAACGUCCUCGCUGCUUUGACGGGCUCACACAGCAGUAGAAAAGCACAAGGGACACACACACUUCAUCUCGUCAAAGAUGUCCAUUGUUAACUUCUCCCCCCCUUGGAGUAUUGGUCCUAUAAAUUGUGCAUUGA